rnacentral:rRNA from 1 species
GACGAACGCUGGCGGCGUGCUUAACACAUGCAAGUCGAACGGAGUGGCGAACGGGUGAGUAACACGUGGGUGAUCUGCCUUGCACUUCGGGAUAAGCUUGGGAAACCGGGUCUAAUACCGGAUAGUGCAAGAUGAGCUCGCGGCCUAUCAGCUUGUUGGUGGGGUAUUGGCCUACCCAGGCGUCGACGGGUAGCCGGCCUGAGAGGGUGUACGGCGACAGUGGGACUGAGAUACGGCGCAGACGCGGAUGGGAGGCAGCAGUGGGGAAUAUUGUACAAGGGGGGGGAGGCUGAUGUAGCGAGGCGGCGUGGGGGAUGAAGGCGUUCUGGUGGUAAACUCCUUUCGACAGGGACGCGGUACCUGUAUAAGAAGCACCGGCUAACUACGUGCCAGCAGCCGCGGUAAUUC